AACAGCUCAUGCAUUCGGAGGUAAUGCUACAACCAAAUUUGAUUUUGAUACACCCCCUCACAGAAUUUCUCCUGAAACAAACACCUUCAGCUUAAUCCACUCUUCUCUUUCCCUACUUGUUUACCAUCAUUGUCAUUCCCCUAAGGUCUUGAAACCUUGGAGAAGUAGCAUGUGUAAAAAAGAAGAUUUCUCAGCCUUGAAGAGGUGGCGGAUGGCUUUCAAUGUCAUAUACUUCACAAGGGUUCUAAUUUCCUUGUCCAAGAAAGUUCUUGCGAAGAAUGGCCCUCCCUUGCCCACACUCUCUCACAUUACCAUUGACGCGCAGCCCGUUGAUAAUGGUUCCUCACAUGACAAAUCUGUUUGCUUUCACGAAAUUGAAACCAAAAAGCUCAAUGACAUGGUGAGGAACAAGAACUUUGAGGCCUUCAUUCGUUUUGGAGGAGUAAAAGCACUGGCUGUGGUUCUUGGAAGUGACAUAAAGAAUGGAAUAAGUGGUAGUGAGGCUGAUCUUACUCACAGAAAGAAGGUUUUUGGUGCCAAUAAGUACCAAAAGCCACCUGCUAAAGGCUUUCUCAGUUAUGUCUUUGAAGCAAGCAAGGACACUACUAUUAUUGUACUUUUGGCAUGUGCUAUACUAUCUCUGGCCUUUGGUAUCAAACAACAUGGUUGCAAAGAUGGGUGGUAUGAUGGUGGAAGCAUUCUUGUUGCUGUCAUUCUGGUUGUGGCUGUUUCUGCUGUUACCAACUUCAAGCAAUCCAGGCAGUUCGAAAAGCUCUCCGCAAAGGGUAGCGACAUCAAGGUGGAAGUAGUGAGGGAUGGGCGGCGCCAACUAAUAUCAAUAUUUGAAGUUGUGGUUGGUGAUAUUGUACAUUUGAGGACUGGUGAUCAAGUACCAGCAGAUGGUUUGUUCUUAGAAGGGCACUCAUUGAAAGUGGAUGAAUCUAGCAUGACCGGAGAAAGUGACCAUGUAGAAAUUGAUGAAAGGAAUCCAUUUUUGUUAUCAGGCACAAAGGUGAUGGACGGAUUUGGUUUCAUGCUUGUCACUUCUGUAGGUAUGAACACCAUGUGGGGUGAGAUGAUGAGCUUAAUUAUAUGUGACAUGGAUGAGCAGACCCCAUUGCAAGCACGGCUCAGCAAGCUGACUUCCUUUAUUGGAAAAGCUGGAUUAGCAGUGGCUGUAGUUGUUCUUCUUGUUCUCCUUAUUCGUUACUUCACAGGGAACACCAAAGAUGACUUGGGAAACAAGGAAUUUAAGGGAAGCAGGAUAAAGUUUGGUGACAUGAUGAAUUCAAUUGUGGGUAUUGUUGCUGCAGCAGUCACAAUUUUCGUGGUGGCAAUUCCGGAAGGUCUGCCUCUGGCUGUUACUCUGACUUUGGCUUAUUCUAUGAGUUGUAUGAUGGCAGACCAUGCCUUGGUUCGGAAACUUUCUGCUUGUGAGACAAUGGGCUCGGCCACAACAAUUUGCACAGACAAAACAGGUACCCUUACUUUAAAUGAGAUGAAGGUAACACAAUUCUGGCUUGGUAAAGAAUCAAUGAAUGAAGGUACUUCCUCAGAAAUAGCACUAAAUGUUCUUGAUGUAUUUCAACAAGCAGUUGGUUUAAACACGACAGGUACUAUUUUCAAAUCAGAUUCUGCAACAUUUGUAGAGAUUUCUGGGAGCCCUACUGAGAAAGCAAUACUUUCUUGGGCUACCUUUUAUUUGGGUAUGAAUAUUGAUGAAAUCAAACAGACUUCUGAGAUAAUCCAUUUCGAGCCCUUCAAUUCAGUGAAAAAGAGAAGUGGGGUUUUGGUGAAGAGGAGGAAGAGAGAUAAGGCUGUGUGCUCCCAUUGGAAGGGAGCGGCUGAGAUGAUACUCGCCAUGUGUUCAAAUUAUUAUGACAAGCUAGGGAUGUUGAAAGCCAUGGAUGAGGAAGAAAGACUGCAGUUUGGUACUAUUAUAAAGAAUAUGGCUGAAAAAAGCCUGCGAUGCAUUGCAUUUGCCUACAAAGAAGUUGCAGAAGAAAGUGGACAGAUUCUUGAGAAGCUCGAAGAAACUGGAUUAACAUUUUUAGGCAUAGUUGGUUUGAAAGACCCAUGUCGGCCAGGAGUUCGGACAGCUGUAGAAUCUUGCAAAGCUGCUGGAGUAAACAUCAAAAUGAUCACAGGUGACAAUGUGCACACAGCAAGAGCUAUAGCUUUCGAGUGUGGGAUUCUCAGUCCUGACAAGGAAUUGGACAAUGAAGCUAUAGUAGAAGGGGAAAUUUUCAGAAAUUACUCACUUGAAGAGAGAAUUGAAAAGAUUGAUAAAAUCAAUGUAAUGGCAAGAUCAUCCCCAUUUGACAAGCUUUUGAUGGUACAGACCUUGAAGAAGAAAGGCCACAUUGUAGCAGUCACAGGUGACGGCACAAAUGAUGCACCUGCUCUGAGAGAAGCAAAUAUUGGGCUGUCCAUGGGGAUCCAAGGCACUGAAGUGGCAAAGGAGAGCUCAGAUAUUGUCAUUUUGGAUGAUAACUUCGCUACUGUGGUGACAGUUUUGAGGUGGGGAAGGUGUGUAUAUAACAACAUUUAAAAGUUCAUUCAAUUUCAGCUCACUAUCAAUGUUGCUGCCCUUGUCAUCAACUUUGUUGCAGCUGUUUCUUCUGGUAAAGUCCCACUAACUACAGUCCAAUUAUUAUGGGUGAACCUAAUAAUGGAUACAAUGGGAGCUUUAGCCUUGGCCACUGAAAAACCCACCAAUGACAUCAUAGCAAAGCCACCUGUGAGUCAAUCUGAGCCAUUUAUAACCAGAGUCAUGUGGAGGAACCUCCUUUCUCAGGCUUUGUAUCAGGUAAUAGUCUUGUUGGUUAUACAAUUUAAGGGAAGAUACAUCUUUGGUGUGGAUGAGAAAGUGAAGAAAACAUUGAUUUUCAAUACUUUUGUCUUCUGUCAAGUAUUCAAUGAAUUUAAUGCUAGGGAACUAGAAAAGAAGAACAUAUUUAAGGGGCUAUUCAAGAACAGGCUGUUUUUAAUGAUCAUUGGGUGUACCAUAGUUAUUCAACUAGUGAUGGUGGAGUUUCUAAAGAAGUUUGCUAGUACUGAGAGGUUGGAUUGGGGGCAAUGGUGUGCCUGCAUUGGAAUUGCAGCUUUGUCUUGGCCGAUUGGUUGGCUCUUCAAGUGCAUUCCUGUUUCUGGCAAGCAGUUGGCUAAGCAAAGAUGAUCUACUUCUUGAAAGACAAGCAAAUAUAUAUAUAUAUAUAUAGCAGUGCAAUAAAAAUGUAUUUUGAGUUUUAGCCAAUAAUUCCAAAUAUCACUUGUAAUUUAAGUAUUUUUAUUUUAGACAAAGUGAAGAUGAAAUAUAGUGCAAAGUAAUGUAAAAUAGAUGGUAUAAGCCUUCUGGAAGCAACAAGACUACUGAAAAGCACGGCUCAAGAAUAAGGGGUGCUAGUAACACUCAUCAAGACGACAAUGUCAGAAUUGCAUGAAAUUUGGACCACCGAAGGGAAUGGUCUUCUGAUCAAGACUUGUGACUAUAUCACGAGGUUCACCCUAAUCUUAUCGAUUCCUUUAUUAAGGCCCCAAAACAGUAAUUUUUCCAUUUUUAAUAAUAUAUAUUUUCUUUAAUAGCUUUUAAGUUUAAAAGUUAAAAUAAAAUCCUAUCUGUUUUUAGACGUCUCUUAGAUUA